AAAGUUCGUAUCAAUUGCAUUGAAAAUUGUACUACACCAUUUGAGUCUAAUUCACUAGAAAAUAAACACCUAUACUACACGUGUCCUUCUACCUUUUUCCAGUUUUCAAUUAUUUUGCUUUGGUUCUUUCUUUCUUCUACUUUUUCUAUUUUUUAUUCUCCUCAUUCACACAAUUGUCGGAGAAGGAGAAGAAGAACUUACAGAUGGAGGAAGAGCAAUUGAUGGAAAAUUAGAGAAGAGUGAUUCGAUUCCGAAUUGAUGCAUUAAUUUGGUGAUGAAAUUAAAUUUCAUAUUUCACUAACGAAAUUGGAGAUCAAAUUGCAUACUGUUUUUGAUGUGAUAAUGAGGCAAACACAUGCUUUAAAGUUAUAUGAAGACAUAGACUUCAACAAAAGCUCUUCUCGCAAUUCUCAAAAUUUUGUAUCUCAAUCUCUUAUCGUGGUUAGAUUUUCUUAUUUUUGG